CCUACGGGAGGCAGCAGUGGGGAAUAUUGGACAAUGGGCGAAAGCCUGAUCCAGCAAUGCCGCGUGAGUGAUGAAGGCCUUCGGGUCGUAAAGCUCUUUUACCAGGGAUGAUAAUGACAGUACCUGGAGAAUAAGCUCCGGCUAACUCCGUGCCAGCAGCCGCGGUAAUACGGAGGGAGCUAGCGUUGUUCGGAAUUACUGGGCGUAAAGAGUACGUAGGCGGUUAUUCAAGUCAGAGGUGAAAGCCCGGGGCUCAACCCCGGAACUGCCUUUGAAACUAGAUAACUAGAGUCUUGGAGAGGUUAGUGGAAUUCCGAGUGUAGAGGUGAAAUUCGUAGAUAUUCGGAAGAACACCAGUGGCGAAGGCGACUAACUGGACAAGUACUGACGCUGAGGUACGAAAGCGUGGGGAGCAAACAGGAUUAGAUACCCUGGUAGUCCACGCCGUAAACGAUGAUAACUAGUUGUUCGGUCACUUGGUGUACGUGAGUGACGCGAGACUAACGACAUUAAGUUAUUCCGUCCGUCGGGUAGGUACGGUCGCGAAGAAUUAAACUAACAAUAGUAAGUUAGUACGGCGUGAGACGNGCCGACGGACGACGACGAGGGAGGUAGG
rnacentral:rRNA from 1 species